ensembl:snoRNA
CCUGCUCCCAGAGGCAUUUGGGGACCUCCUAUGAUGUAUAUGUGUCAGUAUGUGGCAGAGAGGAGAGAGGCUAUAUCUGGCUCAGUGUUCUGACCUACAACAUUUGAAUGAUUAGUAGACUAACAUU